AUUGAACGCUGGCGGCAGGCCUAACACAUUCAAGUCGAACGAGUGGCGGACGGGUGAGUAAUGUCUGGGAAACUGCCUGAUGGAGGGGGAUAACUACUGGAAACGGUAGCUAAUACCGCAUACCAUCAGAUGUGCCCAGUUGGGAUUGGCUAGUUGGUGGGGUAACGGCUCACCAAGGAGACGAUCCCUAGCUGGUCUGAGAGGAUGACCAGCAACACUGGAACUGAGACACGGGCCAGACUACUACGGGAGGCAGAAGUGGGGAAUAUUGCACAAUGGGCGAAAGCCUGAUGCAGCCAUGACGAGUGUAUGAAGAAGGCCGUCGGGUUGUAAAGUACUUUCAGCGGGGAGGCGUUACCCGCAGAAGAAGCACCGGCUAACUCCGUGCCAGCAGCCGCGGUAAUUC
rnacentral:rRNA from 1 species